rnacentral:rRNA from 1 species
GAUUAACGCUGGCGGCGUGCCUAACACAUGCAAGUCGAGCGGCAGCGAGUUUUACACUGAAUUCUGGAAGCUUCUGGUUUGAAGAGAAGAUUUAUUCAAGAAUUUUGUGUAAAAUGUCGGCGAGCGGCGGACGGCUGAGUAACGCGUGGGAACGUACCCCAAAGUGAGGGAUAACGCAUCGAAAGGUGUGCUAAUACCGCAUAUGGUCUUCGGAUUAAAGCCUUCGGGCGCUUUGGGAACGGCCUGCGUAAGAUUAGAUAGUUGGUGGGGUAAUGGCCUACCAAGUCGACGAUCUUUAACUGGUUUGAGAGGAUGAUCAGUCAGACUGGAACUGAGACACGGUCCAGACUCCUACGGGAGGCAGCAGUGAGGAAUCUUCCACAAUGGGCGAAAGCCUGAUGGAGCAACGCCGCGUGCAGGAUGAAGGCCUUCGGGUUGUAAACUGCUUUUAUAAGUGAGGAUUAUGACA